GACGAACGCUGGCGGCGUGCUUAACACAUGCAAGUCGAACGGAAAGGCCCUGCUUUUUUGGGGUUCUCGAGUGGCGAACGGGUGAGUAACACGUGAGUAACCUGCCCUUUACUUUAGGAUAACUUCAGGAAACUGGGGCUAAUACCGGAUAGGAGCUCCUGCUGCAUGGUGGGGGUGGGAAAGUGUCGGCGUGUGGGGCGGGACGCCCGGCUGAUCAGCUUGUUGGUGGGGUGGUGGCUUACAAAGGCAUUGACGGGUAGCCGGCCUGAGAGGGUGACCGGUGACAUUGGGACUGAGAUACGGCCCAGACUCCUACGGGAGGCAGCAGUGGGGAAUAUUGCACAAUGGGCGGAAGUCUGAUGCAGCAACGCCGCGUGUGGGAUGACGGCCUUCGGGGUGUAAACCGCGUUCGCCUGUGACGAAGCGUGAGUGACGGUAAUGGGUAAAGAAGCACCGGCUAACUACGUG
rnacentral:rRNA from 1 species